rnacentral:tRNA from 1 species
GGGCCCAUAGCUCAGCUGGUUAGAGCAGCGGACUCAUAAUCCGUUGGUCCUAGGUUCAAAUCCUAGUGGGCCCA